AAAUUUUUGAAGUUUCUCUAGCUUUUUUGUUGGGUGAAAUCAGUAUAAGAAGCUCUUUCUUCUUUAAAAAUUAGUAGGAACUAAAAAACUUUGAUUUAAAACCAGGAUUAGAUACCCUGUUAUUCUCAGUUAUUCUUAAACAGGGUAGUAAAAGUUGUUCUUCAAACCCAAAGAUUUUGGCGGCACUUUAUCCAAAUAGAGGAGCUUGUCCCUUAAUCGAUAGUCCUCGUUUUAUCUUUCCUUCAUUUGUAAAGCUUGUAUACCGCCGUUGUCAGAUUACUUUUAGAGAAUGUUUUCAAGUUAAAAGACUUUAUAACUUCAGGUCAAGGUGCAGUUUAUAUGGGGGUGGAGGUGAGCUACAGUUUUCUUUAGAAAAUACGGAUUCUAAGCUUUGAAGCUAGCUGAAGGUGGAUUUACUAGUAAAGUAA
rnacentral:rRNA from 1 species